rnacentral:rRNA from 1 species
UACCAGCACCCCGAGUGGUCGGGGCGAUUAUUGGGCCUAAAGCGUCCGUAGCCGGCCUUACAAGUCCCCCGUUAAAUCCAACUGCUUAACAGAUGGGCUGCGGAGGAUACUAUAAGACUAGGAGGCAGGAGAGGCAAGCGGUACUCAGUGGGUAGGGGUAAAAUCCGUUGAUCCAUUGAAGACCACCAGUGGCGAAGGCGGCUUGCCAGAAUGCGCUCGACGGUGAGGGAUGAAAGCUGGGGGAGCAAACAGG